rnacentral:rRNA from 1 species
UACGUAGGGGGGCGAGCGUUGUCCGGAAUCAUUGGGCGUAAAGCGCGUGUAGGCGGCUCGAUAAGUCCGGUGUGAAACCUUGGGGCUCAACCCCAAGCCUGCACUGGAUACUGUCGAGCUCGAGUCCGGGAGGGGAGAGCGGAAUUCCUAGUGUAGCGGUGAAAUGCGCAGAUAUUAGGAAGAACACCGGUGGCGAAGGCGGCUCUCUGGAACGGUACUGACGCUGAGACGCGAAAGCGUGGGGAGCGAACAGG